rnacentral:rRNA from 1 species
UUGCACGCUGGCGGCAGGCCUAACACCUGCAAGUCGAGCGGAUGAAGGGAGCUUGCUCCUGGAUUCAGCGGCGGACGGGUGAGUAAUGCCUAGGAAUCUGCCUGGUAGUGGGGGAUAACGUCCGGAAACGGGCGCUAAUACCGCAUACGUCCUGAGGGAGAAAGUGGGGGAUCUUCGGACCUCACGCUAUCAGAUGAGCCUAGGUCGGAUUAGCUAGUUGGUGGGGUAAAGGCCUACCAAGGCGACGAUCCGUAACUGGUCUGAGAGGAUGAUCAGUCACACUGGAACUGAGACACGGUCCAGACUCCUACGGGAGGCAGCAGUGGGGAAUAUUGGACAAUGGGCGAAAGCCUGAUCCAGCCAUGCCGCGUGUGUGAAGAAGGUCUUCGGAUUGUAAAGCACUUUAAGUUGGGAGGAAGGGCAGUAAGUUAAUACCUUGCUGUUUUGACGUUACCAACAGAGUAAGCACCGGCUAACUUCGUG